GUUUGAUCCUGGCUCAGGAUGAACGCUGGCGAUAUGCCUAACACAUGCAAGUCGAGGGGUCGCACUUCGGUUACGUUACGAUGGUGGGGACCGGCGCACGGGUGAAUAACACGUAUGCAACCUACCUUUCACAGGGGGAUAACCCGUUGAACCACAGACUAUCACUCCUUGACACGGGGGUCCGACAAGGGGAUAUUUGUUCUUUAUUUUGGGGUUGAAGAUGGGCAUGCAUUCCAUUAGCUAACUGGUGACGUAAGCGCCCACCGGUGCCCGGCCUGAUAGGGGAACUGACAGGUUUAUCCCCCACACUGGAACUGAAACACUACCCAGACUCCUACUCGAGGCUACUAGUGAAGUUCAGUAUUGUCCCUGGACGCAACUCGCAGCAAGCUCUUGGAGUGCAAGAAUGAGAUGGCUAUGGAUUGAUAGAUCUUCUAUGUAUUCAUGAGGGACUAUCCAGGUGGGGAGAUGCUCCUUUGCAUUCCUAGAAUACAUGCAUCCGACUAUCCGUGCAGCCCCGAUAUAGGAGGAUCCGCAGCGUAUCGUAUUUUGGGUUAAACGGGUGCGCAGGCUAGAUGUUAUCGGCGUAAAUUUGCAUUGCUCAACUGUAAAAGUGCCUUACGAUACUGCUUCUGGAGUGUGGAUGAUAGAGUCAAUUGUGAUGUACCUGGCAAAAAAAUGGUAUAUAUCACGAAACUAUUGCGCAUGCGCAGCUUACUGAUACCACUAUGACGAUCAUGCAAGCCCAGGGCGGGGAUCCAUACAGAUAGAGCAGGUGGUAGUACGCACGCAGUAACAUGAUACUAAGUGUGCGUAUCGACAUGUAGCACGAAAAGCCAUAAGUAAUCCACUGGGAUACUUGCCAGACCAUGAAUCAAGGAAUUGACGGGGCCCACACCGGAGGGACAUGGUUAAGUUGUGUAGCGGACUGUACACAGGCUUGAAUCCGGACACGGCGGAGAAUGCGCACAUCCUGUGCCGCCGUACAUGUGCUGCAGGUGGUGUCAUCUUCUGCCAGUGAGGUGCUGUAUAUGAUGUCACAUACAGAGAGCACCCCCCAUCUUUAGUUUUUAACUCGUCAAGUUGGGCACUCUAAGGAGACUGCCAUUGUCAGACGGGAGGAAGGUGGGGAUGACGUCAAAUCAGCACGGCCCUUAUGUCCGGGGCGACACACGUGUUACAAUGGGUGGUACAAAGGGCAGCUACACGGCGACAGGAAGCUAAUCUCUUAAAACAGAUUCCAUUUGGAUUGGCGUGUGCAAAUUGACUCGCUGGAGGUGGGUUCUGUUGGUAUUGGGCAUCAGGCACGGCGCGGUGAAUACGUUCCCGGGCCUUGUACACACCGCCCGUCACGCCACGGAAGUUGGGGGCACCCGAAGUCCGUGACCAACAAG
rnacentral:rRNA from 1 species